rnacentral:rRNA from 1 species
AUGAGAAUAAUUAGUUGGAACUGCCGGGGACUCGAGAAUGGCCCGGCAGUUCGUGGCCUCUUGGAUCUCAAGAGGGCGGAGGAUCCCGAUGUGGUGUUCUUGUGUGAAACCAAGCUUUAUGAGAAGGAAAUGGAGCAGUAUCGGUGGAAGUUGGGGUUGGUGAACAUGUGUGUGAGGAAUCCAGAUGGGAGGAGUAGAGGGCUAGCAAUAUUGUGGAAGCAGGGAGUUAAUCUCUUGAUGAGAUCAAUAGGGAGGAGGCACAUUGAUGCAGAUAUCACGGAGGAAAAUGGGAUGGUGUGGAGACUUACAGGGGUCUAUGGUGAGUCGCAGGCCAGCAGGAAGAAGGAAACAUGGAGAACGAUGCAUCUCCUCCAACAACAACAUUAG